rnacentral:misc_RNA from 1 species
ACUAGCUCAAGCUAGCCCCAGCAAGAAUUGUUGAUACAAUAAAUAUAAAUUUUUCAUAUCCUCUUUUCUUGGAUAAAGGGUUAUUUAUAUACAAGAAUAUUGCCUUGCUCAAUUCAACAUCAUAUGCUUGGUGUGAUCCGCAAAGUGUGCUAACGAAAACUUCUCCAAAUCAUUCAUUGACAACUGUCCCAUGCUAGAAUCUUCUAUUCCUCCAUUCUGAUUUGCUGCAGCCAGCCCUUUUUUUUCAUUUCUUUCUAUAAUACAGCCGUAAAGGCCUUGAACUUUGGCCCAAGAAAGCUGAAUCCAUGUUUGGGCUGCUAACAUGGACACAUACAAACACAUUGACCAAAUCUCUCACAUUACAAUCAAAGGAAACACAAAAUUAUUUUAAUUAAUUGUUGACAUAAUAUGGUGAGGGAAAAUGAAUUUGGGAUUUUCCCUUUUUUUAGUGUUUACUUUGUUGUGUAUUUUUCUGUUUAAGAGUUUUAUUUUUGUACCUGGAAAAGAGUAGGAUAUUAUUGUUGUUGUUUCUAUUAUUGAUGAUGUUAUUUUUAGUAAUUUAUCAAAAUUCAGGCAAAUGGCUCAUUUUGACCUUUUAACUAAUAGACAAUAGUUAUAGUAGUCCCUGACAAAAAUUUAUAGUUAAACCAACCUCUUAACUUCUAAUUUUGGCCAAAUAAGCGCAAAAUUAACGUCUUUUAACUAAUGGUGUUAGAAAAAAUUAGUGAAGUAGAUUUUUAAUGAAUAAAAAAAAGGCAAAAGGCCUAAAUUGAGGACUCAUUUUUUAUGCAAUAAUCAGAUAAAUCCUUAAAUUUUAAUUGUAGUCAAUCAAGACCUUCAAAUUUUAGUUAGGGUUAAGUAGAUUUGAUGAACCUUGCCUUCAAUGAUGAUGAGUAGGUCUAGAAUAGAGAACCAAAUAUUUUAUUUUGUUGUUUGGAUUUUUUGAGUUUCUCUAGAGCUGUGUCUAGUGAUUGAAGAAAAGUUGGUAUUUUCAUUUUGGAUGGUAGUUUGGAUUUUAUGGAGGAGAGAUUGGCCAAAUGGAUGACAGUACAAAUAUGGUUUAGAGCUGCAAAGUUUUUGUUUUGUAAGUGAAUGGGAAAGAAAUCAUUGCUAUAUGAAAAUGAAAGAGCUAAAGACGCUUUUUUCUUCUUCGUGACUGCUAGAAUAUGUUUAGUAGAAAGUUAAAAAAUCAAGAGUUUAAUGUUAUCUUGGUAAGUUUUAACUUUUAAAGAGGAUAAUUAUUAACCUAGUCAUUCCAAGAUUUAACAUUUAACCCCUCAAGAGGCUAUAAAUAUUAAUGAGAUGAAAAAUUAACUUAGUCUCUUUAAGUAUCCAAAUAACAUUAAUGAAAGAUUAAAAGUUGCAAGGGUAAUAAUUAUCAUUUGUUAACCUUGUGCCAAAUGUCCCUUAGGAUUUGUCUCUAGUUAUUUGUAAAAGAGAAAGGAUGGAGUUUCAAUCAGGAAGGGAAUGAACGAGGGAGAGGUGGCUGGUUCUUGAUCAAUAAAGAGGAAGAUGGAAAAAAGGAAGAGCGAUAUUUUGUUCUUUUUUGUUAAUGAUAAAAAAAUUUUCAAUUUGGCCUAAAUUAAAUUGUGAAGGGUUCAAUUAACUUCCAAUAAAAAGCAAUGGCCUAUUUAAUUAUUAUACUAAUAUAAAGGGUUAAUUUGGACAUUUUGUAAUUAAAAUAGAUCGUGUUUCAUCGUGUGAGAGCAUGUGAUUGAGUUCAAUUGAGCUAAAAUUGAAAUAUAAAAGGUCUAUUGAACCCAAUUGAAAUUUGAGGGGUUUGUUUUUACUGUACAUUUUUGUUAGGGGCUAGUAUGACCAUUGACUAUUAGUUAAAGGGCCAAAAUAGGCCAUUUGCUCAAUAUUUAUUUGAAAGUUUGCGUUUCUAGGAGAUGUUAAUAAUUACUUAGGUAGGAUUUAUUUGUUUAUUAUUUUAUGAUGAUCUGUUAUUUAUUUUAUGAUUGUAGUAUUCUAUGCUAAUGAUUUAGGCCCCUUUUGGGUUUGCGGUUGAGAGGCUAACAAAGUGCCUUUUGAAAAAGCAUUAUUUUAUAUUUUGUCGAAAAAAGUAGUUUGAAAAAACAUGUCAAAUUUAAUUUUAA